rnacentral:rRNA from 1 species
CCCUUAGAUGUCCUGGGCCGCACGCGUGCUACACUGACGCCUACAGCGAGUACUUCCCAGCCCCGAGAGGUGGCUGGUAAUCAGCAAUAGGCGUCGUGAUGGGGAUAGAUCUUUGGAAUUAUGGAUCUUGAACGAGGGAUGCCUAGUAAGCGCAGGUCAUUAGCCUGCGCUGAUUAAGUCCCUGCCCUUUGUACACACCGCCCGUCGCUCCUACCGAUUUCGAGUGGUCCGGUGAAAUCUCGGGACGGCGGCUUGGUCGCUUGCGUCCGACUGCUGAAACUUGAUUAAACCAUAUCAUUUAGAGGAAGGUGAAGUCGUAACA